UCUAAAACCACGACAAUAAUUGCUCUCUCUCUCUCUAUUCUCGUUCUCUCUUCUCCAGCAAAACCUUUUGUUCCCGAAGAGUAUUGCUGGUAGAAGACGUUGAGGCCAACACAAUCCAAUCAAGAGUGCUAUUGAUAGAAGAGUUGAGGCAAACCCAAAGGAAUUGAUGCAAGGAUUUGGCUGAAUUGACCUGAUCCUAUAUCAAAUUCUACACCGAUUUUUCAUUCUUUUCCUUGCCGUUUCAAGUUUUGAGUGUUGAACUUCGAGACCAUGGGUCGACAUGGCCGAAUUCGCAGAAGGAAGACUUAAACCUUCAUCUCCAACAAACGCAAGCAUAAGGUUUUUGGAUGGAAGACUGGACUUUUAUCAAAAAGAUGAAGUAUUGGUGUGAAUGCGAUAUGAAUAUGAAGAUAGAACUAUGUUAUUGAAUUUUGAUAAUGAGCAUCAAAGUAGGCUCGAAAUCAGUUAUCUUCUUUUUUUAUCUCUCGCGGCAUAUAAGAGUUUUGUAUAUGACAUAUAAUUAUGUAAAGGUACAUUAAUGCUAUAUGUCUUCUAUCUUGUUCUUUGGUGUGAAA